GUGUGUGUGUGUGUGUUUUAGUUAAUGCUUCUGGAGUGCAGAAGUUUUUAUGCCAAAUAUAGUGUGUGACAUAAGUGAAUAGAAUGGCAUGCUAAAUGUUGAUUGCCUUGAUGGAAAGGGAGAAUAAGUUUGUACCUUAGUUCGGUAUUACCAAGUCACAAAUACCAAGGACUGGAAGAGAUCACUGUGGUUGUUUCAGCCUAAUCAUGUGGAAUAGGAAAUUGAAGCCUGCAAAUGUCUAAGUCACAUGUCAAAAUUAUACAACUGGUUAGAUGAACAGCCAGGUCUUAAAUCUGGCUUCCUAAUUCUUAACUGUAGCUCCCUUUCUCUAUGCCAUGGUGCGUUUUAUAUUCAUGAAAAAAUUAGAAGUUGUGUAGCUAUUCUUGUUUUUAUUUUGAUACUUGGUUUUUGUCCCAAGAUAACUUGAGUUCUGUGAUUUAUAAAGUCUGAGGUUUUUGUUUUUCAUGUACAUAUGCCUAAAUACCGUAAAUGUGGAAGUUAAGUUUUUUCCUUGAGGGCAUUUUUAAUGUAGUAGGUAGAGGGAUUUGAAAAUUAUUUUGCCAUAUAAUUAUUUUGAUAUAAUUCUUUCGGAAUUAAUGUAUUCACUUGUGUUUCUUAAUUAUGCAUGAUGGUUUAUAAAUAAAUAAAUUUGACAGUCUUUUGCUAACAUAGGUAUAGUACUUUUUAUAAUCAGCUAAUGCUUUAAAACAUUUACACGUAGUUUGCAUUUUUGCAUAUUUCAGAUAUUUCCUUAACCUAAGUACUCAGAUAUUUAUCCAAACAUUAUUGCUAUGGGGUUUCCUGCAGAAAGACUUGAAGGCGUAUACAGGAACAAUAUUGAUGAUGUAGUAAGCUUUCAGGGUCAUGUAGGAGGGAUUAGGAAUAUACAUGACGUCCAGCUUCUCAGGAUGGAAGAAUUAAUGAUGGAAGAUGGAGGUACAGUGUGUCACGUUUGCGUUCAGCAUAGAGUUCUGUAUCCAGCCGAGCCACCAGCCGAAGUGCGAGAGGAAGAAAGAAAGCCAUUCGAGAAGAGCAGCAAAAACUUGUAUCCAUGCAACAUUUCUUAGAAAAUUAUUAGACAGUGUGUUCUAACAAAACAAGAGAAUAAGCCAUGAAAGAAGAGAAAGGGGCUUUGGUAAAUUGAGGCUCCAACUCCGAAGCAGCAGAGGAAAGCCCAGGGAUGACACCUGUGCCAUCGGCUGAAGAGCAGCUAGUUCUGGGUGAGCAGUAUGACAGAGGGCAUCAAAGAAGAAAAUAAGAAGUAGAACUGAUAGAUGGAUACUGAAAUGUUUUGGGAAAACGUGAUAGAUUCUUACAAAUAUAGGUGAAUUAGGUUAGGAAGCAAAUGUUAACAUCUGCCGAUUGGCUUCUUAACCACAAAUUGUCAUAUUGCCGUUGAAGGUAGGGAUUCGGAGAAGUGAAAUGUGGAGGUGCUUCUGGUUUUGUAAGCUUCAUCUACCAUGGCAGAAGAUAGGCAGGUAAUUGAUAAACCUGUAGGAAGCAGUGGUAUGUAUAUUAUAGAGAAAUGCCAAAUUAAAUACCAGCAAAAAGGAUAUGAUAGUUGAGGAUGGUUACGUUUGGAGAAGACCCAGGAACAGAUGAAUGAAUAGAGCUGGAGAUGAAUUUUUUUUUUUAUUGUGGUAAAAUUUUAUAUACACAUAUAUAUAUCUAUAAAAUAUGUGCAAUACAAUUUACCAUUUUGACCAUUUCUAAGUACACUAGUGGCAUUAGGAACAUUCACAUCGGGCAACCAUCACCAGUACCCAUCUCAGACUUUUUUUUAAUCACCACACUGAAACCGUGUACCUGUUAAGUAGGAACUCCCCAGUGCCCCUACUCUCAGCCUGGCAACACUGUUCUACUUUCUGUCUUUGGUAUUUAUUCUGGGUACCUUAUGUUAAGUGGAGUCAGGCAAUAUUUGUCUUUUUGUGACUGACUUAGUGUGACAUAGCAUGUGACUUCACUUAGCAUAACGUCUUCAGGGUUCAUUCCUGUUCUGGCCUGCGUCAGGAUUCUCUUCCAUUAUAUGUAUAUACCACAUUCUGUUUAUCUGUUCAUCCACUGAUGGACAUUUGGGUUGCUUCUGCCUUUUGACUAUUGUAAAUAAUGCUGGUGUGAACACAGGUGUACCAGUAUCUGUUCAAGUCCCUGCUUUCAGUUCGUUUGGUUGUACACCCAGAAAUGGAAUGGCUGGGCCAAAUGGUAAUUCUGUGUGUAAUUUUUUUGAGAAACUGCCGUAUUGUUUUCUACAGUGGCUGUAUCAUUUUUCAUUCCUACCAGCAAGUGUAAGUGUUCCAAUUUCUCUACAUCCUCAACAUUUACUAUUUUCUGGGCUUUAAAAAAAAAAUUUUUUUUUUAAGAGCCACCUUAAUGGGUGUGAAGUACUAUCUCAUUGUGGAUUUUUUUUCUUCCCUAUCUUUAUCUUUUGUUUAUUUUUUAAUUUUUUUUUUUAAUGUUUAGUUAUUUUUAAGAGAGAGAGAGACAGAUUGUGAGUGGAGGAGGGGCAGAGAAAGGGAGACACAGAAUCUGAAGCAGGUUCCAGGCUCCGAGAUGUCAGCACAGAGCCCGACGCGGGGCGCUAACCUACCAAAUGUGAGAUCAUGACCUGAGCUGAAGUCAGACACUCAACCGACUGAGCCACCCAGGUGCCCCCCCGUCGUUAUUUUAAACUACUGUAACUUGGAGAAAUCACACACCUCAGCUACAGAAGCAGAGACCUGAGAAACUUCCCUUCCCCUUGGUAACUGACCUCUCCUGCAAACCCCUUCUUUCAAAGUCAGAGGGAGGGGAUGAAACAUAAAAGAACCCUUAUUUUAGCUAGAAUCUUUCUGAGAUUUUCCCGUUCUUCUUAGUUUUGGGGUAUGACAGCUGGUAAUUUCUUCAUUUGCUAGGAACCAGAGCUCUGGGAAAUCUAGUUAACCAGGAGGCCUGGUGUUUAAAAAAAUGAAGAAAUGCUAAAAGGAUCUUAGAAACAGAGGUACUUAAAAUGUGCACAUUGAAUGCAUCAAUACUUUCAGCAUAUGCAUGCGUACAAUGGCUAUAUAAUUAUCUUGAGACAACUUCCAAAGUCUAAAUUUGAGGCUUAUGAUCUCCCUUCUUGGAAGGCCUAUUUAAGCAUCUAGUAGAUUGAGUAUUACAUUUUUACCACCUAAUGGGAGGCCUUCCAUCUCCUCCUCCCUCUGUUCCUCUUUUAAAUUUGAGUCUAGGGGCGUCUCGGUGACUCAGUCUGUUGAGUGUCCGACCUCACCUCAGGCCACGAUCUCGCAGUUGACGAGUUCCAGCCCCGCAUCAGGCUCUGUGCUGAUGGCUCGGAGCCUGGAGCCUGCUUCCGAUUCUGUGUCCCCCUCUCUCUCUGCCUCUUCCCCUCUCAUGCUCUGUCUCUCUCUGUCUCAAAAAUAAAGAUAAACAUUAAAAAAUUUUUUCUUUUUCAAUUUGAGCCUAGACAAGUAUAGCACAGGUUCCAGAAAAUGUCCAGUGGUUUUUGAUCUUUGGGGAAUGCAAUUUUGUGUAUAUUUGCUAAGUGAUAUAUUUUUUUAAAGGAGGCAUAUAGUUAACAUAUGUGUUAUAUUAGUUUCAGGUGUACAACAUAGAGACUGGACAAUUCUGUGCCUUAUGUUAUGCUCACCACAAGUGGAACUACUGUCUGUCACCACACGGCACUGUUACACUGCCAUUGACUCUGUUCGCCAUGCUGUACCUUUUCACCCCUGGCUCAUUCCAUAACUGGAAGCCCAUAUCUCCCACUUGCCUUUACCCGUUUUGUCCAUACCCCUACCCGCUUCCCUCUAGCAACUAUCAGUUUGUUCUCUGUAUUUACAGGUCCGUUUCCGCUUUUUGUUUGUGUAUUCAUUUGUUUUGUUUUCCAGAUUCUAUAUAUAUGAGUGAAAUCAUAUGGUGUUUGUCUUUCUCUGACUGACGUCUGUAACUUAAUACCGUCUAGGUCCAUCCAUGUUGUCACAAAUGGCAAGAUCUACUUUUUUUAAUGGCUGAGUAAUAUUCCAUUAUGUUUGUGUGUAUGAUGUCUUCUUUAUUCAUUUCUCAGUGGACACUUGGAUAUUAUAAAUAAUGCUGCAGUAAACAUAGGGGUGCAUGUGUCAUUUUGAAUUAAUGUUUUAGUUUUCUUGUGCUAGGUAUCGAGGAGUGGAAUUACUGGAUCAUAUGGUAUUUCUAUUUUUAACUUUUUAAAGAUGUUUAUUUUGAGAGAGAGACAGAGAGAGCACGUGCGUGUGCACAGGGGAGGGGCAGAGAGAGGGAGAGAGAGAAUCCGAAGCAGGCUCCAUGCUCAGUGCGGAGCCCAGUGUGGGCCUUGGUCGGAUGCUUAACCGACUGAGCCACCUAGGGGCCCCCUCUUUUGAAUUUUUUGAAGAACCUCCAUACUGUUUUCCACAGUGGCUGCACUGUGGAAUUCAUAUGCCACAUAUUCCUAUUCCUACCAACAAUGCAUAAGGGUUCCUUUCUCUCCACAUCCUUGCUAGCCCUUGUUUCUUUUGGAUUCUAGACAUUUUGAUGGUUGUAAGGUGAUAUCUUAGUGUGGUUUUGAUUUGCAUUGAACAUCUUUUCAUGUGCUUAUUGACUGAAUAUCUUCUUUGGAGAAAUGUCUAAGUUUUUUGCCUAUUUGUAAAUUGAAUGCUUUAUUUUUUUGUUGUUGAGUUCUAGUAGUUCUUUAUGUAUCCUGGGUAUUAAUCAGGUGAUUUGCAAAUAUUUUCUCCCAUUCUAUGGGUUGCUUUUUUGCUUUGUUGAUAGUGUCCUUUGAUGCAUAAAAUGUUCAGAAGUUUGAUACAGUCCAAUUUAGCUAUCUUUUUGUUGACUGUGUCUUUGGUGACACAUCCAAGAAAUCAUUGCUAAACUGGUAUCCUAAAGCUUUUCUCUCAUGUUUCCUUUUUAAGAGUUUAGAGUGUUAGGCCUUUUUUUAGGUCAUUAAUCCAUUUUGAGUAAUUUUUGUGUAUGGUGUAAAAUAAGGGUCCAACUUAAUGUUUUUACAUGAGGAUAUCCACUUUUCCCAGCACCAUUUGUUGAAAAGACUGUCCUUUUUCUACUGAAUGGUCUUGGCACACUUGUCAAAAAAUUAUUUGACCAUAUAUACAAGAAUUUAUUUCUGGUCUCUGUUCUAGUUCACUGGCAUAUAUGUCUGUUUUUGUGUCAGUACCACACUUUGUAGCUUUGUAGUAAAUUUGAAAUCAGGAAUUGUGAGUCCUACAAUUUUGUUCUUCUAUUUCAGGAUUGUUUUGGCCUUGGAGGGUUCUUUGAGACUCUAUAUGAAUUUGGGGAUGGAAUUUUCUACUUCUGCCCCCCCCCCCAAAAAAAAAAAAGUUUUUGGGAUUUUGAUAGGAAUCACAUUAAUCUGUAGAAUGUGUUGAAAUCUUAACAAUAUCAAGUCCUGAUCUACGAAUGUGGGAUGUCUGUCCAUUUAUUUAGGUCUUUAAUUUUUUUCAACAGUGUUUUGUAGUUUUCUCUGUGUAUCACCUUGAUUAAGUUCAUUUAUAGAUACUCUUUUUCAAUGCUAUUGUAAAUGGAAUUUUCCAUUUUGGACUGUUCAUUGUUAGUGUACAGAAAUGCAACAGAUAUUUGAAUUUGAAUUUUGUAUGCUGUUACUUUACUUAAUUUGUUAAUUCUAACAAUUUUUUGUGGAAUCUUUAAGGUUUCCUACAUAUAAGAACAUGUCAUCUACAAACAGGUAACUUCAUUUCUUCCUUUCCAAUACGGAUGCCUUUUUGGAUAGAAGUGGCAAAAGCAGACUUCCUGUCUGUCUUGUUACUGACCUUAGAGGAAAAUUUUUGUCUUUUAUGAUCGCAUAUCAUACUAGUUGGGUGUGGAUUUUUUUUAAUAGAUUUUAUUUUUUAGAGCCACUUUUCAUUCAUAGCUACAUUCAGCAGAAGGUAGAGAAGAUUCCCAUAUCCCGCCUGCCCUCACACAUGUAUAGUCUCCUUCACCAGUUUUUUUUAAGUGUAUUUACUUUGAGAGAGAGAGAGAGACAGCCUGAGUGAAGGAGGGGCAGAGAGAGAGGGAGCACACAUGGAGCCUACUUGGGAAUUCUCUCCCUCCCUCUCUGUCUGCCCCUCCCUUUCUCCCUCCGUCCCUCCCUCCCUCUCUCUGUCUCUCUCUUUCUUUCUCUCUCUCUCUCUCUCUCUCUCUCUCUGUUUCUCUCUCUCUCUCUCUCUCUCUCUCUCUCUCUCUAAAUAAACAUUAAAACAUUUUUUGUCCAGGGGCACCUGAGUGGCUCAGUUGGUUGAGCGUCUGACUUCCGCUCAGGUCAUGAUCUCAUGGUUUGUGGGUUCGAGUCCCACAUCGGGCUCUGUGCUGACAGCUCAGAGCCUGGAGUCUGCUUUGGAUUCUGUGUCUCCCUCUCUCUAUGCCCCUUCCCACUUGCGCUCUGUCUGUGUCUCUCUCUCAAAAAUAAAUAAACAUUAAAAAAAUUAAAAAAAAUUUUUUUUGUCCAAAACCACAGGAUGCAUACCAAGAGUGAACCCUAAUGUAAAUCAUGGACUUUCUGUAUGAUAACGAUGUGUCAGUAUAGAUAAACUAAUUAUAACAAAUACAGUAAAACCUUGGGUUGUGAGUAACUUGUUCUGCGAGUGUUUCACAAGAUGAGCAAACAUUUCUAAUAAAGUUUAACUUGAUAAACGAGCGAUGUCAUGCAAUACGAAUAGUAUGUGAAGCCAAAUGUCACAUGAUCACAACUGAGCCAAUGGUUCUUCUCUCUCUCUCUCUCUCUCUCUCUCUCUCUCUCUCUCUCUGGGAUUGUAGGUGAUGAUUUCCCGUGCUCAGAUGCUCAGUCUCAAGCCGUGGUGUUUGGCAGAAAUCAGUGAUUUUUCAGGAUGUUGGAAGGUGCCCACAACUGGCACUGGUGUAUUUUUGUCACUUCAAAGCACCUGUGGACAGUCCUUUGCUUUUCCCCACAAGAGUGAGCUUAGGAAUGCUUUGCUUCAUUCUAGGUCAGGCUGCCUACAGAUAGAGACCCUUUCCUCUGCUGCCUUAUGCCAGUUACAUGAAAUACAGUCUAUGACAAGAGUUUAUUAAUUCUGCACUGUGGUCAGCAUCCACGUGAGCGUAUACAAUGGCCCCGUGCAGAAAAAGAUUCCUUUGAGUCGAUAGAUAGCAGUGAUUCUGUUGGUGAUAGUGAAAGUUGUCCUACACAAUAACCCUCCUCUCUCCUGUCUCCCUCAAACCAACCAUGAAGGUUAUCAAAGGGAAGUACAGGUUAAUUUAUUUUUCCUUAUGCUUUGUAUUUUCUUUAUUAUUUUGUAUUAUAUUACAGUAUUGUAAUCAUUUUUAUAUGAAUGUUUUUGGGUUGUGGAACAAUCAUCUGAGUUUCCUUUAUUUCUUAUGGGGAAAUUUGCUUUGAUAUACAAGUACUUUGGAUUAGAAGUGUGUUUUUGGAAUGAGUUAUGCUCGCAAACCAGGGUUUUACCAUAUACCACUCUGGUAGAGGGCAUUAAUAAUGAAGGAGAGCCCAACAUGGGGCUCAGUCCCAUGAACCGUAAGAUCAUUACCUGAGAUGAAAUCAAGAGUCAGACUCUCAACCGACUGGGCUGCCCAAGCGCCCCUGGGUUUGGACACAUUUUAAUGACGUGUCCAUCAUUAUAGUAAUAUACAGAGUACUUUCAUUGCUCUAAAAGUAGUCUGUAUUCUGCCAAUUCAUCCCUCUCCAUCCUCCCUGCCCCCUGGCCUCUGGCAAAUGCUGAUAUUUUUACUGUCUUCAUACUUUUGACUUUUCUAGAAUGACAUAUAGGUGAAAUCAUCCAGUAUGUGCAUAUAGAAACUCUCCUACUAUGCAAUAUGGCAGUAUAUGAAAAACCCACAACAUGCACAAUGGUAUGGCCAUUUUGGAAGAUGGUAGUUUCUUACAAAACUAAACAUACUCCAUAAAAUCAAGCAAAUGCAUCCCUAUGAGUAGUUACUCAAAAGAGUUGAAAACUUGCAUUCACACAAACAUGGGUGUCAUGUCUUAAAUGCCUGACUCCCAAAAGAGGAAAAAGGGGGAUAAAAGGAGGAAAAAAAAAAAAAAGCCUCUGGAUCUUUAAAUCCCCUGGAAGCCUUUUCCAUCAGUGGGGAUUUCAGCCGGGGUGGCCUGCUUCUGUGUCUGCAUGUCUGUUAUCAUAAGCAGAAGUCAAUGAUAAGAACACAGAUCUCUGAUAUUUGGAGGACAAGGUCCCAUGAGCUGGUGCAGGCUGUGCUAGGAGUAUGUACAUGGCUGCCUGCUGGGAGGUGAGGGGCACUGGGGGUGAAUAGCUGCUGCCAUACUGAGUUGAAACGGGCUGAAAUUAACUAUGAUUUACGGUCUAAGCCUUCGUCUGGACGAUGCAAGCUUUUGACUAGACUCCAGGGUUCCAAAAUAGUUACAUCAGUCCGAUUAUGCCAGUAGAGUACUUGUCUAGGUGGGGAGAUGGGUUUCCUGGGGUUCCUAUUCUGCCAUCUUCCCUCAACUAGUUUUUUAUUACAUGUUUUUGUCUGUCUUUUGAAAUACAUGUUUAUAUAUUAUUUUGACAAAAAUAGUUUUAAAAUGCACUUUGGCAGCUUACUUAGGACUAUUUCAUAGGAAUUCUUUGAGGAAAGAAAAGACUUCUAAAAAAGACAAAGACUGUUUAUUCUCACAGCUGUCUUUAGUGAAUUCAGAUUUUUAUAUAUUGAAAUUAUUUGAAGUAAGGUAUAGUUGUCUUAGAAAGAUUUAUAUUCUAGAUUUUCCACAUCUUGAGGAUAUUACCUCUUUGCUCUUGUCUAAGUUUUUAACCUACUUUCCAAGUAUCUCCAGUUAAAUUUUCCCAUUUCCCUUUGGAAAGUGCUGUUUUCUUGCUUUUUUUCCGCUUUUCCAUUGUAUCAAAUUUAUAAGGCAAUGAGCCAAUUGUGGGCAUGAAAUCCUUGGGAGGAGAGAGGAGGAAGUGGGAGGGGCAGCCAUGGUGAAUGUUUUCCUAAGUAAUAUUCAAGUUCUUUGAGAGAACUUACCCUCCCCCCUUUUUAAAAAUGCUGUGAUAUUUUCUUUUAAAUAGAUUGUUUAUUCUCCUGCCAGUCUCCCUGUUGCUCAAAUGCUAGAUAAGAAAUUGUAAAGUUCACAUGUUAAAGGGAGCACAAAAAGUAUUUUACCAACCCUCAAUCAAAAAAAAAAAAAAAAAAAAAAAAAAAAAGGAAAA